GCCCCUGGUCGCCUCCUUUCGCCGGCCUUCUAAGCCGGGGGUCGAAGGUUCGAAUCCUUCCGGGCGCG
rnacentral:tRNA from 1 species